UGAAUGAGUAACUUUUAACAUUCUCAUGAAUAUUCUUGAAAUCUUGUUUAACACAGUAACUCAAUGACUUUUCCCGACCUUCCGUCUGAUAUUAGAAUCUCCACAUCUCUUAAACUGUCUUUAAUCUAAACCCUCAAAUAGGCCCCUACUGCCAUUGCCAGCAAAAUAAGACUUACAGGAAGUUAGAGUGGAAAACAAUUAAUGCAUAAUCCUCAAAACGUGGGUGAAAGGAAGAUGGAGCAUAAGCUUAUAGACAAUUAAACACAGGAGUGAAAAUAGAACUUCCUUUGUGACAUAGAAAGGAAAGGAGUAUCUCCACUCCAUACUUUUUUUCACCUUCUUGCCAGUCUCUAUGCAAAAGUAGAGCAGCCAUCUUGGACCAUGAGAUGAAAUCUGCAAGGUGAAAAGGACAGAGCAACAAGAUGGAAGAGGACUUGAUCCCCAACACUCUGGAGCUGCUUUUUCAGCCCUGCACCCCUUAUGCUUAGAGCAUAUGGAACAAGAACAGCCUGAUAAAUUCACGUGUGGGCUUCCUGUCUAUUUUAAUGAGUGACCAAGCACAAAAACAAUAUGAAGAGUGGGAGAAUCAACAUAUUAAGUAGAUGCACUCACAUUCAAGAGUCUCUUGUAGGAAAAUCUCAAGUGAUUGAAAUUUCUUAUAUUUAUAACUUCUCUUAAUUUUUCUAGUAACCUGGAAGUACAUUUGCAGACAAAAUUAGAUUAUCAGAAAAUGAAAUGUUCAGACCUAAAAACAAAUGAAUCAAAUUCACAUUUUUACAUAUAGCCAUUGUUUCACAUCUGUAAAUAUGUGGACUUGAUCUGUGUUUUAGCUUGCUAGACAUAGAAGGGCAUGACUAAAAAGUAUAGAAGCCUAAAUAAAGUAUAAUAUCCAGUCUGUAAAUAUUUUCAACUUUAUUUUUAACUGACAAAACUUAUAUAUAUUUAUGGGAUACAAUGUGAUAUUUUGAUGUAUGUUUACAAUGUGGAAUGAUUAAGUCAGGCUAAUUAACAAACGUACAUACUUAUUAUUGUGGUGAAAACCUUCAAAAUCUAUGCUUCAAGUAAUUUCAAAAUAUACGAUGUAUUAUUAUUUAUUAUAGUCA
rnacentral:lncRNA from 10 species